UUACCCACCUUUGACAUGUACGGAAUCCUUUAGAGAUAGAGGAGUGCUCGAAAGAGAGCCGUAACACAGGUGCUGCAUGGCUGUCGUCAGCUCGUGUCGUGAGAUGUUGGGUUAAGUCCCGCAACGAGCGCAAGCCUUGCCAUUAGUUGCUACGAAAGGGCACUCUAAUGGGACUGCCGGUGACAAACCGGAGGAAGGUGGGGGUGACGUCAAGUCCUCAUGGCCCUUAUAGGUGGGGCUACACACGUCAUACAAUGGCUGGUACAGAGGGUUGCCAACCCGCGAGGGGGAGCUAAUCCCAUAAAGCCAGUCGUAGUCCGGAUCGCAGUCUGCAACUCGACUGCGUGAAGUCGGAAUCGCUAGCAAUCGCGGAUCAGAAUGUCGCGGUGAAUACGUUCCCGGGUCUUGUACACACCGCCCGUCACACCAUGGGAGCGGGUUCUGCCAGAAGUAGGUAGCCUAACCGUAAGGA
rnacentral:rRNA from 1 species